CAAAAUCAUGAACAGGGCUGGCUCGACAAGCUCAGCCUGACCAGUUAAAAUCCAGUUGAAACCAACCAUGAGUGUGUCCCAUUGAUAGCCCUACCACUAAGAAGAGAUUUUACAAGCACCAAGCACCCCCAUCCAAGCACCAAGCACCCCCCAUCAAACUUAGACUGGUCUUGUCCCAUUCAUUUGGUGGACUUAAACAUAGGCCUGUGUUUGACCUGCAAGCUUAAAACAGACCAAGUUUGGAUUGCCGGGCUAGGCCUAUACAGGACUUGUCUCCAUGGGAACUAUGCCAAAAUGUAUUAAUUUAGCCUUCUGUUUUUUUUUUUUUUUUCUUGGUGAUUUUUAUUUUCUCAGUUCUCAUUUAUUGGAUAUGUUCAUUAGAAUCCUUUUCUUACUAAUUGUAUAUAAACUCACUCCCCUAGGUGCUAGAGUUCCAUGUAAUGCACAACAUAUUUCCAUUUCAUGCAUUGACAUCUCUUAAAUGUAUUUGAUGAUGACCCUUUUUUACCUAUGAGUUCAUCGUUUGUAAGAUUGAAAUACCUUGUAUAAUGUUGUAUUGUCUCAGUCUAUUGACAUUCGCCAUUGAGUCCUAAAGUUGAUAAAUGCAUAAGCAUCAUAUUAGCUUGGCUAUUUUAUUUUUUCCUUUUCAGUGACUGAAAUUAUUAACAAGUAUCUUCUUCUUCUUCUUCUUCUUCUUCUUCUUCUUUCUUGCAGAAUCUUAGCAAUAGGGAGCCUGCUGAGACUACUAGGUGGAGAUCACCUGCAACGCAGGGUCGUGGCGUUUGAGGGAGCUAUUCUUCUCAUUUCAUCUCCUAUGGAGAUAUAUGAAACAAGGGAUCACCGUUUGGCAAGGCGGAUUGCUGCUGUAGGGACUAAUUCUUGUCCUCUUUUGCACCAAGAAUCUGGCAAUGCUUACACAAAGGCCUUCAUGCGGCUCACCACGCUAUUUGGCUAAAGGGGGGAAGCCUAUGCCAAUGCUGAUGCCACUGUCUCCCUUCAAUGUAUGUUUUCAAACUUUUGGAGUGAUUGUGAUGUUCUUCUCUUGUUUUCUCAAGUUAUGGUCAUAAGAUUAACAGUUGAUUGAACCCAAAUGUAAAUAUGAGGAUGAUGUUUGUAGAUUCAAGAUGUCGUUGGAAGCUCCGACGUUUAGUGGCAGAUGGCAGAUGGGAACUGCUGGACAUGCUCUGCCAAAAUCCCAAUUGGGAUAACAACUUCCUAUUCUUAUCCCAACUGAGAUUGGAUCCCACUUAUAUGUGGUUUCCAUUUUAUGCUCUACUGCUGAAGGCAAAGUAGAUAGGUUCCACUAAAGUCACAGAACCAAUCCCAUUAAGGUUCUUCCAAAUGUUUCCUAACCAAUCAUUUUAAACAUUAAACAAGGCAAUGGUACUUAUGCACAGGGUGCAAUGGUCUUGUAAGUACCACCCGUUCUUUUCUCUUGGAUCGCCCAUGUUUCCAGAUAUCAAUUUGUACUCUAAUUAUCAGCUUCCCAGCUGGAGAUUAAAAUUGAAACUACAGAUUUUGAGUUGUUCUUUCUGUGGGACAUAGUUUAUGCCGUUUUGGUCCUUGAUAGAGUGGAAUGGCAGAAAAAGAAUCAUGUAGCAGACCCUUGUUAGUUGGGAUAAGGCUUAGGUGAUGAUGAUGAUGAUGAUGUUCUCUAGUACUUCUUUCCAGGCAUACCAUAUUUUCUCAGCUUGCUGAAUAACCCUGUACACUCCUAAUAAACUGAGUUGAUUCACUGCUUGCUGCGAAAAUUUGCCGAAUUUGUUUUUUAUAAAGAUUGCAUGGAAUUGAAUUAGUGGGAUGGGCUGAAAAUUUGAGAAGACUUAAAACAUUAGACUUUCUAUAAGAUUGAAAAUGACCAUGAGUAAUUGGUAAAUUAGAUUUAUAGAUAGUGUGAGUUAAGCCUACAACUGAGAAUCAAAGCCACAUACUGGUUGGACUGAUGGCAAAUGGAUCUUGGGUUCAUUAGCGUUAUAGGGCUGUCACUUGACAAAACUGGCCAAUUUGGCCUACAGCAUAGACCUAUAUGGGCUGGCUUAAGCCUAAAUUUAGGCUUGUGGACUGGACCUCGCCUGAUUUUCAGGCCCGAGCAAUCAAAGGCCUGACCCUAGUUUUAGAACUAUUCUAUCAAGGCCUAGUGGACCUCAUGCUGCCAGUGUCUGGAUUUGAACUGAUUUUCAGGCCCGAAAAACAAACAGGCUGGAUUUGAGCUAAACUUAGCAUAUCAUAGGCACACCCGUAGUUCAAAAGGCUCCCUUGGAAUUUGAACAGUAAAACUGGCCCCUGAAAACAUUUUUUGUUUAAUCUGACUUUCUUGUGAUUCUAUGAAUAUGCAAAUUCUUAACUAGUAGUUGUUUUUCUCGGAUGAUGAGUGACUCGACAAAUGUGCUGUCACCUGGAAGAUCUAUUUGUAGUGAGACUGUUGUAGCAGAUGCGUUGUUGCAACGUAUUUCAGCUGUUAAAGGAAGAAUAAUAACUACAUAGUUUGCAUCUAACAUACACCGUCUUGGAAGCGUGAAAGUUGCAGCAGAUUUAACUGGUAGAAAGUUUGUAUUUGUCAGCAUGUCACUAAGGACAUACUUGGAUGCUGCCUGGAAGGAUGGAAAAGCAUCGAUGGAUCCAUCAACACUGGU